CCACCACUAAGCCAGUGGUGAACUCCACAUCCGCAUCCUUUGCUGAGGAUACGGUUAACGGAGCGAAAGCGACGUUCAACCGCAAAACAAGCAGAGGGGGCUUAGUGGUGGGGUGACUGCGUACCUUUUGUAUAAUGGGUCAGCGACUUAUAUUCUGUAGCAAGGUUAACCGAAUAGGGGAGCCGGAGGGAAACCGAGUCUUAAUUGGGCGUUAAGUUGCAGGGUAUAGACCCGAAACCCGGUGAUCUAGCCAUGGGCAGGUUGAAGGUUGGGUAACACUAACUGGAGGACCGAACCGACUAAUGUUGAAAAAUUAGCGGAUGACCUGUGGCUGGGGGUGAAAGGCCAAUCAAACCGGGAGAUAGCUGGUUCUCCCCGAAAGCUAUUUAGGUAGCGCCUCGUGAAUUCAUCUCCGGGGGUAGAGCACUGUUUCGGCUAGGGGGCCAUCCCGGCUUACCAACCCGAUGCAAACUGCGAAUACCGGAGAAUGUUAUCACGGGAGACACACGGCGGGUGCUAACGUCCGUCGUGAAGAGGGAAACAACCCAGACCGCCAGCUAAGGUCCCAAAGUCAUGGUUAAGUGGGAAACGAUGUGGGAAGGCCCAGACAGCCAGGAUGUUGGCUUAGAAGCAGCCAUCAUUUAAAGAAAGCGUAAUAGCUCACUGGUCGAGUCGGCCUGCGCGGAAGAUGUAACGGGGCUAAACCAUGCACCGAAGCUGCGGCAGCGAACGUAUCACCCAAGACAACUUUACGGAGUUGACGAUUGACGGAGCGAAGCGACGUCAAAGCGUUCAUUAAAGUCGAGUUGGCUUAGGGAUACGUUCGUUGGGUAGGGGAGCGUUCUGUAAGCCUGUGAAGGUGUGUCGUGAGGCAUGCUGGAGGUAUCAGAAGUGCGAAUGCUGACAUAAGUAACGAUAAAGCGGGUGAAAAGCCCGCUCGCCGGAAGACCAAGGGUUCCUGUCCAACGUUAAUCGGGGCAGGGUGAGUCGACCCCUAAGGCGAGGCCGAAAGGCGUAGUCGAUGGGAAACGGGUUAAUAUUCCCGUACUUGGUGUUACUGCGAAGGGGGGACGGAGAAGGCUAUGUUGGCCGGGCGACGGUUGUCCCGGUUUAAGCGUGUAGGUGUGUGUUCCAGGUAAAUCCGGUUCACUUUAACACUGAGGCGUGACGACGAGGCACUACGGUGCUGAAGCAACAAAUGCCCUGCUUCCAGGAAAAGCCUCUAAGCAUCAGGUAACAUCAAAUCGUACCCCAAACCGACACAGGUGGUCAGGUAGAGAAUACCAAGGCGCUUGAGAGAACUCGGGUGAAGGAACUAGGCAAAAUGGUGCCGUAACUUCGGGAGAAGGCACGCUGACACGUAGGUGAAGUGAUUUACUCAUGGAGCUGAAGUCAGUCGAAGAUACCAGCUGGCUGCAACUGUUUAUUAAAAACACAGCACUGUGCAAACACGAAAGUGGACGUAUACGGUGUGACGCCUGCCCGGUGCCGGAAGGUUAAUUGAUGGGGUCAGC
rnacentral:rRNA from 1 species